rnacentral:rRNA from 1 species
UGGGGAAUAUUGCACAAUGGGGAAAGCCCUGAUGCAGCAACGCCGCGUGAGUGAAGAAGUAUUUCGGUAUGUAAAGCUCUAUCAGCAGGGAAGAGAAUGACGGUACCUGACUAAGAAGCCCCGGCUAACUACGUGCCAGCAGCCGCGGUAAUACGUAGGGGGCGAGCGUUAUCCGGAUUUACUGGGUGUAAAGGGAGCGUAGACGGCGAAGCAAGUCUGAAGUGAAAGCCCGUGGCUCAACCGCGGAACGGCUUUGGAAACUGUUUUGCUAGAGUGCUGGAGAGGCAAGUGGAAUUCCUAGUGUAGCGGUGAAAUGCGUAGAUAUUAGGAGGAACACCAGUGGCGAAGGCGGCUUGCUGGACAGUAACUGACGUUGAGGCUCGAAAGCGUGGGGAGCAAACAGGAUUAGAUACCC